rnacentral:rRNA from 1 species
GACGAACGCUGGCGGCGUGCUUAACACAUGCAAGUCGAACGGAAAGGCCCUUCGGGGUACUCGAGUGGCGAACGGGUGAGUAACACGUGGGUGAUCUGCCCUGCACUUUGGGAUAAGCCUGGGAAACUGGGUCUAAUACCGAAUAGGACCACGCGCUUCAGGGUGUGUGGGGGCAAGCUUUUGCGGUGUGGGAUGGGCCCGCAGCCUAUCAGCUUGUUGGUGGGGUAUUGGUCUACCAAGGCGACGACGGGUAGCCGGCCUGGGAGGGUGACCGGCCACACUGGGACUGAGAUACGGCCCAGACUCCUACGGGAGGCAGCAGUGGAGAAUAGUGCACAAUGGGCGCAAGCCUGAUGCAGCGACGCCGCGUGGGGGAUGACGGCCUUCGGGUUGUAAACCUCUUUCAAUAGGGACGAAGCGCAAGUGACGGUACCUAGAGAAGAAGCACCGGCUAACUACGUG